GUCAAUCUGCCUUUGUGACUGAAUUUGAACUGGAGUCAUUGACCAAGAUCUGCUUAGUUUCAUCAGCAGUCAAGUUCUCUACAAUCAAUACCAUGGGACCCAUUCGGAGGAAUCAACUGCAUUUCCCAUUUGCCUUUUAAUGUCCCUUUUAUUUUUAUCACAAUUUAUUUUUAUCGCAAUAUUUUUUAUGACUGUGUUCUUCCCUUAUGUUCUGAGAAACCUGCUUUAUACAAAUCGGUUAAUUUUUUACUUUAUUUGUAGUUAAAUAAAGUCACAAAAAUCACA